AGUAACACUCUGGGAGGGCUCAAACCACAUAACCAAAUGUGCCAAGAUAAUCCUGAGCUCACUCAUUGUCAGGUGCCUCACUAGCUACUUGGGAGGCUGAGUCAGGAGAAUUGCUUGAGUCUGGGAAACCGAGGUUGCAGUGAGUCAAGAGAUCACAGCACUGCACUCCAGCCUGGACAAAAGAGGUUUCAUGGACAAUUCGAACCAUGAGUAUAUGCAAAUGAUAAGGUCAGGAUUCAUAUUUUACCUCAACUACAUAUUAUAAUCACUAUGCUAUCUUUGUUAAGGAUUUUCUAUUUAUUGUCACAAAAGGCAUUCCUUUAUGGUAUAACAACCUAAAUGUCAGGGUUUUCUUUAUUUAUUGUAUAAAUAUCUAUCUGCAUUAGUUCUAAAAAAUGUAUUAGCACUUUAAGGGCAGAACCCAAAUACUGUAAUACAUUUACACAGCACUGAGUACAUCAUGUAUAGUCUAAGUGUGUAUAAAAUACCAGCAAUUGUACAUGUAAAGAAAACUUACCAGACAGUUGUUUCCACUUGACUGUCAUUGAGCUGCCAAUUAUCCAACUGGGGAAACAGUGGAAAAAGCACUUGAAUCUGUCCAAUUGAAUGAAUUGCACUAUGAAUUGAAUGUGUUACUAUCCCUUUCACAUCCUAUGUCUAAAAACAAAAAUGUUUAUUAAACUUCUAUAGAAUGAUUUUCAUCACUAUUUCCUUGGUCCAAAUACGUUUAUAAGGGAAUUAAAUAACAUAGUUGGAAAUUUUUUAAGCCUUCAAUUAUAAUUUUUAUACACAUGUAAGACAAAAAAGUGAGUACCUUUGCUAAUCACUUUUAAAUUUCAAAUCUUAGGUCAACCUAAGAUUUUUUUUUACACUAAAAAUAUGAAGUUAAAAUCAAAUGUUAUUUUAAAAUCAGAAAUACUAUUGAUGGAUUUAAAGACAAGUAAUUUUAAUGUUACAGAAUAUUAGUAAUACAAUCUUAAAGCAAAGUAUGUUUUUAUAUCUAACAACUAACUGAUUCAGUUAAUUGAUUUAAUUUGAAAGGCUGUAUAAUAUAUAAGAUAAUAGGUAUGACAGAUUUCCUACUAAGGAGACAAGGCCAGGGUAGAGCAUAUUGCUACAGAAAAGAUAGACAUUCUUUAAAGUUUCACUUAAAAGAUCUGCAAAAGCCAAAAAGAAACAAAAAGUCACAGAUUUAUAGAUGAGCAAUGUUUGAUAUAUAAAAUAAAAAUAUUGUUAAAUUCUGACAAGAACAUGAAAACAAAGCCAUGAUUCACCCACCGGAAGCAUUAGAGCAUGUUGGGAAUGCACAAAAAUUGAUGCAUCCUCUUUUGGUGAUGAUUCCAGGCAGAGUUGAGUAUCAGUGGCCUUAGCAAUUAUAUGUAAAGGCAAUGCUACUUGCAAGUUUCCCAUCAUAUAAAACCUGUUUAUGAUGUUCUGCCAAAUGAAUAUCACUCUUAGAUUUAAACUUGAAGGUACUCUGAAAAAAUAAAACUAAGUUAAACAGUGUUUUUAAAAGCAACAAUUAAAAAGCCAAAGUUUUAAAGCAGAGAAACAUUUGCAAUAAGAAAGUACUUGUGUACCUUUCAUGUGUCAGGGACUAUUCAGUGGUGUUACUUACUUCGUUAUAGUCACUUCAAUUCAAUGAGAGUUAAGUUUUAUUAUGCCAAUAAAGAUGCUCAGAUCUUCAUUUUCUAAUUUAAAGUUUUUGAUUACUGGCAAAAUCAUUUCAUUAGAAAAAAAUAUCAAACCUGAUUUUAUAUAUAAUAGGAUUGUACUUGACUACAUCAUAGCAUAAGUUUAAUUUUUCUUGUUAAUACUUUAAAAAGUAUUUAUGUAAAUAAACAGUGCCUGACACAUGAAUUACUUACAAAAAAGACUAUCAUUUGAGGCUAUAAAAAGUUAAUAUGCAAAAAUAUUCAUAUCUUUACUAAAAAUAAAAUCAACCUAUGAAAUACCAAUGCUACUCAACAAUAAUAUCACAAUAUACAUACUAAACUCAGAAGAUAAGUUUGUUAAAACAUGUUAUUACUUUUUAUGAAAGACAACUAAACAUAUGCCAUCUAUAACAAGAAAGGUAUUGUUAGACGUGGUUAAAAUUGCUCUGCAGAUAUGAGUCUAAUAAUGAUAAAUGAUAUUUAACCUUUGCAAUCAUCACAUAUCAAUAUUACUAUUACUUUCAACUUACAACUAUGAAAGCUUAAUGUUAAGAAAUUAAGAUUUAGAAGGGAAGGGGCCAGCAUGUAAUUCUAAGUCUUUUGAUUUAUAGUCCAUAUUCAAUGUAUCACUAGUGAAAUCAUCUUAAAAUCCUGACUCUGCCACUAAUCUUUUUCAGCUUAGGAAGUCUUUUAGCUGAUGUGGCUCCAAUUUUCUCACUCAAUGUUAUAAUAGGGUUAAAUCAAAUGUCCCAAACUCAAGUUCUCACAGGAGGCACACAGAUAUGCAUGUAAGCGAAUUUGGCCAGAUGGGGACUUCCUCAAACUAGAGAAUGUUUGUCCUUUCUAAAAGUGGCCCCUACUCCUCAGUUCAAGUCAGUUGUUCAAUGUUGCUAGUUCUUCCAUAUUUUUCAAGAGAAACAUGAAAUCCGAAUUUUUAUCUAAAAGCACUAUAUUUUACAAUUUAAUUAAAACAUUUUAACACUGUGAAGACCAAUCAUGUCAGUUUUUACUUCUGGACUAGUGUGUAGAGACUAAUACAAAACUGGAUGCAAACUAUUAAUUAUUAGGCAUGUGCCAAGACAAGAGCAACAUGAAUAAUUAAAAAUUUGUGUAUGCUGUAGUCUGAAGUAUUUCAUUGAUAAUACUUUUUUUUUGAAUGAGGAGGGUAGUGUUAUCACUAGAAUGCUUAAGAACUCAGCAUAUCUGCAUUCAAAAAAACAAUGACUGAAUUAAAACACACAAGAUAUGUUGUUAAACACUAAAUCAGCUUUCCGUGUCUGCAUUUUACAAAUGCUGAAACAUUUGUACAUCCCAUUGUCUAGAACAAAACUCCUGCUUUCAUUUUGUUCAUCUUGCUUACACUGGAAUUAACAAGUUUUAAUAUAUUAUCUUAAAGGAUUUAAAAUACCUUUGUGGAAAUGUAAGAUGUUUAAUAAAACCUAUUCUUAUUUGGAAA
ensembl:lncRNA novel transcript